AAAUGAAUCAAAACUUUCAACAACGGAUCUCUUGGUUCUGGCAUCGAUGAAGAACGCAAACUUUCACGAAAUGCGAUAAGUAAUGUGAAUUGCAGAAUUCAGUGAAUCAUCGAAUCUUUGAACGCACAUUGCGCCCGCCAGUAUUCUGGCGGGCAUGCCUGUCCG
rnacentral:rRNA from 1 species